rnacentral:rRNA from 1 species
UAAAUGCGGAAGAGAUAAGUGCUGAAAGCAUCUAAGCACGAAACUUGCCCCGAGAUGAGUUCUCCCUGAGACUUUAAGUCUCCUGAAGGAACGUUAAAGACGAUGACGUUGAUAGGCCGGGUGUGUAAGCGCAGCGAUGCGUUGAGCUAACCGGUACUAAUGAACCGUGAGGCUUAACCUUACAACGCCGAAG